rnacentral:rRNA from 1 species
GACGAACGCUGGCGGCGUGCUUAACACAUGCAAGUCGAACGGAAAGGCUCCAGCUUGCUGGAGUACUCGAGUGGCGAACGGGUGAGUAACACGUGGGUAAUCUGCCCUGCACUCUGGGAUAAGCCUGGGAAACUGGGUCUAAUACUGGAUAUGACCUUUCUCCUUAUGGGGUUUGGUGGAAAGUUUUUCGGUGUAGGAUGAGCCCGCGGCCUAUCGGCUUGUUGGUGGGGUGAUGGCUUACCAAGGCGACGACGGGUAGCCGGCCUGAGAGGGUGAUCGGCCGCCUGGGAAGUGAGACACGCACCAGACGACUACGGGAGGGAGCAGUCGGGAAUGGUAGGCAAUGGGCGAGAGUCUGACGCAGCGAGGCGGAGUGAGAGAUGACGGCCUUGGGUUCGUAAAGACCUGUUACGAGUGAUGAACAUCUGUGUACGGAGACGAAGCGAUCGUGACGGUACCUAAAGAGAAAGCACCGGCUAACUACGUG